rnacentral:rRNA from 1 species
UGGGGAAUUUUGGACAAUGGGCGAAAGCCUGAUCCAGCCAUGCCGCGUGAGUGAGGAAGGCCUUCGGGUUGUAAAGCUCUUUUAGUCGGAAAGAAAGAGUCGCAAUGAAUAAUUGUGAUUUAUGACGGUACCGGCAGAAAAAGCACCGGCUAACUACGUGCCAGCAGCCGCGGUAAUACGUAGGGUGCGAGCGUUAAUCGGAAUUACUGGGCGUAAAGGGUGCGCAGGCGGUUUUGCAAGUCAGAUGUGAAAGCCCCGGGCUUAACCUGGGAAUUGCGUUUGAAACUACAGGGCUAGAGUGCAGCAGAGGGGAGUGGAAUUCCGAUGUGUAGCAGUGAAAUGCGUAGAGAUGUGGAAGAACACCGAUGGCGAAGGCAGCUCCCUGGGUUGACACUGACGCUC